GCAGAAAUCAACUUAAUCUACGACAAAUGGCUCUACAUUAUCGUGAACUGGAAACCUACAUCUGGCCUCUUCAUUGCUUUAGAUGGCUUCCCCAAAUCCUCAGAUCCCAAAGGUAGCCCUGCAACUGGACUACAACCUUAAACAAGAACCCCAAAUUUCUGUCUUGGUAGAAACGUUGGCGGAGCUGGUUUCUAUUUUACCAAAUUUUACCUUGCCUCUUUGGUGGUGUUCAAGGAAUUUUUAUCAGAGUCUCUUAUAUAUCCUGUUUACUCGUAUUAUCAUUCUAAUUAGCCUGCGUGGCAGGCUCAUUGGUAUUUUUUUAAAUAAUACAGUAGCUAGCCUAUAUAUAAUACACGAUCAAUUUGAAAGACUGAUUGUUGCCAUACAACAUUUGUUACAUCAUUCUGUAGUCUAAUACAUUUAUACACUAUCGUACUAUUAAAAUGGAUGCACUUAUAAUUGCAUUUCUGAGGUCAUGCCUACAGUGCAGGUAACAAUCUUUCUAUUGGUUAGAAUUUUUCCUCGCAGCAUUUAUGUUGCGUUUCGGCUAGCUUGUCAUGCAAUACG